CAAAGGUUGAGGAUUUGGGGUACCAAAUUGUCAAAUUAACAGCAAUUUGAAAACUUUGGGUAUUGAACUGUCAAAAUUAGGCAUUAAAGUCCGAAUAGAUUGGAAUUUAGGGGUAUUAAACUGCAAAAGGGAUUUCUUUCUUUUUCUGUGCUACAAGAAAAGAACUAUGUAUGAGGAUGCAGGCUCCUUUUUUGAUAAAGUAAAGAUUAAGAAAGCAGCAAGGGGCUCAUAUCUUUGUUCCUGUUUUCUUGCAAAAUUAUUGAAUGCCUACUUUUCUUAUCUUUUUGCCUUUUCUUCACACUCUACUGAGCCCCCACUCUCUGUUGUUCCCAAGCCCCAAGCUUUUUGUGUCCCUUAUCUAACAUUUUAGAGCCACUUGCUUACCAUUGUACCCUUUUCAUGGUAUGGGCGUCACAAUUAAUUCCAAACAAUCCGGGUACCAGCUAAUUUGAACUGAGAGCUGAAAAUGAACUUGAUUCGGAUUAGUCUGUACUAGUUCCAAUCAGCUUAUUCCAAUCAACUGAAUGAUGUCUAUCUAUGCAAAAGGUGUUUCAGUGUUGAUGCCUGGAAACGACAUACCUACCUACAUUGCGCAUCCUGCUCCUCCUCCUCUCCCAUGCCCACCUGAUCGAGUUAUUUGGCCACCUCACCACCAUAUACCAAUCGGCGAUUCUCUGCCGAGUUCAAGUUAGAACUUUCUCACUUCCACCACAGAUAUUAUUGACCACGUCUAAUUCAACAGCGUAGAGAUGUUCAUCAAUCCUGGAAUUAUAUAUGCGGCUGUGGCUAGUAUUUGCUUCUUCAGGUAACUAGAUCUUUUCAGGCGGUUGUAACUCUAAUUUAAGCGGCUGCAAUGAUGAGUGCAGUCGAAUGCUGUUGAAAUGUGUAUAAAUCUAUUUUCAUGAUGUAGAAUUAUUGCUGCCCCUGCUCCUGAGAGUAAUUAGCGUGGUGGCAUAUCGAUGUACAAGAAUCUUUAUUAAUCUUUAGAUUUCCUUCCAACUUGAUGAUUU